rnacentral:rRNA from 1 species
UACGUAGGGUGCGAGCGUUGUCCGGAAUUAUUGGGCGUAAAGAGCUCGUAGGCGGCUUGUCACGUCGGUUGCGAAAGCCCGGGGCUUAACCCCGGGUCUGCAGUCGAUACGGGCAGGCUAGAGUUCGGUAGGGGAGAUCGGAAUUCCUGGUGUAGCGGUGAAAUGCGCAGAUAUCAGGAGGAACACCGGUGGCGAAGGCGGAUCUCUGGGCCGAUACUGACGCUGAGGAGCGAAAGCGUGGGGAGCGAACAGG